rnacentral:rRNA from 1 species
UACGAAGGGGGCUAGCGUUGCUCGGAAUCACUGGGCGUAAAGCGCACGUAGGCGGCUUUUUAAGUCAGGGGUGAAAUCCUGGAGCUCAACUCCAGAACUGCCUUCGAUACUGAGAAGCUUGAGUCCGGGAGAGGUGAGUGGAACUGCGAGUGUAGAGGUGAAAUUCGUAGAUAUUCACAAGAACACCAGUGGCGAAGGCGGCUCACUGGUCCGGUACUGACGCUGAGGUGCGAAAGCGUGGGGAGCAAACAGG